rnacentral:tRNA from 1 species
CCCCUGGUGGUCUAGUGGUUAGGAUGCAGCGCUCUCACUGCCGUGGCCCGGGUUCGAUUCCCAGUCCGGGGA